AUACGGAGGAUCCGAGCGUUAUCCGGAUUUAUUGGGUUUAAAGGGAGCGUAGGUGGACAGUUAAGUCAGUUGUGAAAGUUUGCGGCUCAACCGUAAAAUUGCAGUUGAUACUGGCUGUCUUGAGUACAGUAGAGGUGGGCGGGAUUCGUGGUGUAGCGGUGAAAUGCUUAGAUAUCACGAAGAACUCCGAUUGCGAAGGCAGCUCACUGGACUGCAACUGACACUGAUGCUCGAAAGUGUGGGUAUCAAACAGGAUUAGAUACCCUGGUAGUCCACACAGUAAACGAUGAAUACUCGCUGUUUGCGAUAUACAGUAAGCGGCCAAGCGAAAGCAUUAAGUAUUCCACCUGGGGAGUACGCCGGCAACGGUGAAACUCAAAGGAAUUGACGGGGGCCCGCACAAGCGGAGGAACAUGUGGUUUAAUUCGAUGAUACGCGAGGAACCUUACCCGGGCUUAAAUUGCAUUUGAAUAUAUUGGAGACAGUAUAGUCGUAAGACAAAUGUGAAGGUGCUGCAUGGUUGUCGUCAGCUCGUGCCGUGAGGUGUCGGCUUAAGUGCCAUAACGAGCGCAACCCUUAUCUUUAGCUACUAACAGGUCAUGCUGAGGACUCUAGAGAGACUGCCGUCGUAAGAUGUGAGGAAGGUGGGGAUGACGUCAAAUCAGCACGGCCCUUACGUCCGGGGCUACACACGUGUUACAAUGGGGGGUACAGAAGGCAGCUACCUGGUGACAGGAUGCUAAUCCCAAAAGCCUCUCUCAGUUCGGAUCGAAGUCUGCAACCCGACUUCGUGAAGCUGGAUUCGCUAGUAAUCGCGCAUCAGCCAUGGCGCGGUGAAUACGUUCCCGGGCCUUGUACACACCGCCCGUCAAGCCAUGAAAGCCGGGGGUACCUGAAGUACGUAACCGCAAGGAGCGUCCUAGGGUAAAACUGGUAUUGGGGCU
rnacentral:rRNA from 1 species